CAGAACGUACGCUGGCGGCACGCCUAACACAUGCAAGUCGAACGAAGUAGCAAUACUUAGUGGCAGACGGGUGAGUAACAUGUAGGUAUCUGCCCUUUGGCCUGGAAUAACACGAGGAAACUUGUGCUAAUACCGGAUAAGUCUUUACGGAGAAAGCUUUAUGCACCAUUGGAUGAGCCUGCACUUGAUUAGUUUGUUGGUGGGGUAAUGGCCUACCAAGACUGUGAUCAAUAGCUGAUUUGAGAGGAUGAUCAGCCACAUUGGGACUGAGACACGGCCCAAACUCCUACGGGAGGCAGCAGUGGGGAAUCUUGCACAAUGGAGGAAACUCUGAUGCAGCGAUGCCGCGUGAGUGAAGAAGGCCUUUGGGUUGUAAAGCUCUUUCGUCGGGGAAGAAAAUGACUGUACCCGAAUAAGAAGGUCCGGCUAACUUCGUGCCAGCAGCCGCGGUAAUACGAAGGGACCUAGCGUAGUUCGGAAUUACUGGGCUUAAAGAGUUCGUAGGUGGUUGAAAAAGUUAGUGGUGAAAUCCCAGAGCUUAACUCUGGAACUGCCAUUAAAACUUUUCAGCUAGAGUAUGAUAGAGGAAAGCAGAAUUUCUAGUGUAGAGGUGAAAUUCGUAGAUAUUAGAAAGAAUACCAAUUGCGAAGGCAGCUUUCUGGAUCAUUACUGACACUGAGGAACGAAAGCAUGGGUAGCGAAGAGGAUUAGAUACCCUCGUAGUCCAUGCCGUAAACGAUGUGUGUUAGACGUUGGAAAUUUAUUUUCAGUGUCGCAGGGAAACCGAUAAACACACCGCCUGGGGAGUACGACCGCAAGGUUAAAACUCAAAUGAAUUGACGGGGACCC
rnacentral:rRNA from 1 species